rnacentral:misc_RNA from 1 species
AAAAUAUGGAAAAUGUCUUCCAUAAAAAUAUUUUUUAUUUUUUGAUUAUAAUGUUAAAUUAAUAGUAUGUAUUUAUGUCAUAAAUGUAUAAAGUGUUUUCACUUUUUUAGAUUGUCAAAGUCAGAAAGUUGUUUUCGUUAAAAAAUGGCUUAGUAAGAAAAUAUUUUUCAUUGAUCCAUUUUCUUGAGCGAUGCAAACGUUACAAAAUGCGAAAAAUAUUUUCCAUAAAACAAAUAGAACCUAAGCUUUAAUAUUUUUUUUUCUCCCCACUUGGAACACCUCUCAACCAUACCAUUUACUUUUUUCUUUGCCACUUAUUAUUCCUCUCCAAUAAAGGCCCCCUUCACCAACAACUAUUUCUCAUUUAUUUUUCAAAAUCUCAAGGAAAAAAUUGUUGGAUGGUGAGUGAUAAUGAUGUAUUGGAAUUAAUUUUUUCAUUUUCUUAAUAACGUACUUUUGUUGACAAUAAAAAGCUUUGCAACAAGCAUGAACUUAAAAUCAAAUUUCUUGAAAGUAAUAAGGUACUUCUCUCUUAAUGAUUUUUCUGGAAAUUUAUUUUACAGAAAUGAUUACUUUGUUAUCAUUCAUAUAUAUGAUUGUUAUGAAAAUUUAUGUGUCAUACUACCGCCCCCCACCCACCCCUCCCCUCCACAACCAAACUUGAAAUCCUGGUUCUGCUACUGCAGAGUUGCCUUUGUUGUUAUGCUAGGCUGAAGGUCUUCUGUGAUAUUGCAGACUUUGAAUGUCUACCUAAUGCUUUAAUUAUUUAUUUCUAAUAUCAUUUUGUUUGUUUGAUAUUCUAGG